UUGCUGUGAUGAUUUUUCCAAUUUUCACCAGAAUUAAAUGUUGGCAUGAAAAACGAGCUUUUUAAAUCUGAGCAAG